rnacentral:rRNA from 1 species
UACAGAGGGGGCCAGCGUUAUUCGGAAUUAUUGGGCGUAAAGGGCGCGUAGGCGGCCAUGCGUGUCUUCCGUGAAAUCCCUCGGCUUAACUGAGGACGUGCGGAAGAAACUGCAAGGCUUGAGUCCGGGAGAGGGGGGUGGAAUUCCGCGUGUAGCAGUGAAAUGCGUAGAGAUGCGGAGGAACACCGAUGGCGAAGGCAGCCCCCUGGGCUAACACUGACGCUCAGGCACGAAAGCGUGGGGAGCAAACAGG